rnacentral:lncRNA from 1 species
UUAAAAUAAAAAGUAAUUAUCUUAUAAAAAAAUAGUAGAUUCACUGAUUCAACAAAAUAUCCAACUAGCUAGGCAAUAAAUAGCUGCUUAAAUAAUCUAAGUACCACAAAACCAAAUUAUAUAAUCCAAAAAGCUGAAAUUCUAAAAUCCAUAUCCUAAGAAAAUGCUAAAUUAAAACCUUCAACCUUGUGGUUAUUGACCUUCCAGAAAAAACUCUAUCUGCAAAUCAAAAAAACAUAUAGACAUAAAUCAAUCAAAUAGUUAUGAAAUUAAAAAAAAUGUAUAUAAAGAAAGAAAUGUUUAAAUAAUAAAUUGUUAAUUUUCCAGAACUAUAGCUAUACUAGCAUUAUAGCAACCAAAAUCAAUAUCCAUAGAAUUUAGAGGAUCCGCAGAAUCAGAUUCUGGUUGAAGCUGUAAUAUGAAAAUAGACUUCAAGAAAGUCGUCCCAUGUCCAGAGAGAUAUAUUUAUGAAUCCCAAAAUAUGAGAACUAUUAGAGCAAGUUUUAAACUAACCGAGAAGCUUAAGGAAGGGAAAGCAACCCAAGAGCUCCUGCACAAGUGGAGAAGUAAUUAUGUCAGCACUAAAAUAUCAGUGUGAAGUAAUGAAUACCAUUUACAGAAAAUAUUGAACAACUAUUAGUCAAUCAUCAGCAGCACUAAAGUUCUGAUAGUGACAUAGGAACACAAAUGGAGUAUCAUCAUCAAAGCACAUAACAACUAGCAAUAGGUGAAUAAAGAAAACCAAACUGAUGAUUGACUAAUAGUUGGUGAAUAAAGAAAACCAAACCUCAUGACUCAGCUCAAACAUUGCUAAGUCAAAUACUACCCCAAAGAAACCUCGAAGUUUUAAAAUAAGCUAUAUCUUUUAUAUUGCGUAACAAAGACACUUGUAGCUUACAUACCCAAUCUUUCAAAACUUGGACAUCUUAGCGAGGUUCUACAUAGCAAAAACCUCUAUCAUCAUAUUGACACUUUCAUGUGGCAAACUAGAAAUAUAACAAUGUAAUCACACCAAGUGGUUGUGUGUCAGAUUGUCGUAUCUUACACAUAGAAGUACAAAUUUAAAUUUUAAAUACAUUGGGUGAAAGUAGAAUAUGUCUUCUUUGUAAGUGUUGAAAGAGAAUACUUUUUACAAGUACCCCCCCCCUUCCUUUUUUACAACUAUAGAGUAUUUGUGAUGCAACAAGACAUUGCGGCAAUAUGCUGUAAAGUACUAAAGUAAAUAGCUACCAACGCGAAAGUGGGUAAAAAGAAGUGAAAUUCCAGCAGUAAGAUGUUUGCUAAUCAAGGGAAACCCAUCUCCUGCCCAGAUUUUUCUUUAUAUAAAAAUAUCACAACAUAUCUCCAUUACAAUAUUGAAUAUACUUGUAAAUAAUCUAACAUUUCCCAAAUAAGAAGUCUGGACUAAAAACUACAGCCACAACCAUGCUUUAUUUGAUGAUGAAUGUCAUAACAAAAUACUUCUAAUAUUUAAAAAGUUAAAAUAAGUGCAGCUGCUGUCAAUACCAUGCCAGUCAACUUAUUUGCAGUGACAACUAGAAAAUAAUAAUUUCCCCAUGAAAAUAAAGGCACUUCUUUAUUCCCUCAAAGGGUGUGGGAAAGCACUUCACUUCAAUUAGUUACUCAAUUUUGCACCCAUGUUCAACAAUUAGAUACUCAAUUUUGCACUCAUGUUCUAAUGUUUCUUUAAACAUAUGCAAUUAGUUACUCAAUUUUGCACAACUACACAUGCCAUCUGAUGUUUCUUUAAACAGAUGCAUGCUCUUUGCAAUUUUGCAGUUAUGUUCUGAUGUUUCCCAAAUAGAUGUAUGCUGUUCAAUAAUUAGGUACUCAAUUUUGCAGUUACCUACUCAUGGAACUUUAAUAUUCAUCUUUCUAUAAUAGAGAUUAUGUAUAUAACCAAUAACAGGCCUGAGUAGUAUAACCAUGGAAAGGAACAUUUGAAAGCUUAAUUGAAGUUUAAAAGUAUUUAUUACUUACAUGAUAUUUUUCUCUAGUAUAUGUUCAUCCCAUUAGCAGCCAUAAAUUCCAUAAGUUGAUAUUUGCACCUUGAUCAACCAACUGAGUUUUCAAAUCAGACACUUCAGUCUCAAAUUCAGCCACUUGUGUCUUAAGAUCAUUUACUUGAGAGUUAGACAUUUAUAGCUUUUGUUGUGUUUCUUGAAGUUCCUUUUGAACUUGUUGGGUAGCUAAAUUAGAUGAUGUGAUACGCCUGCUUGGAGGUUUUGGACCAUACCCAAGGCCUUUAAUGUAACCAGAUCCAUGGCCAAGAACCUCCAAGACUAUUUCAUCUGUGUUCUUCUCAGAUCCUUCUUCUCUAUAUUGAUCUCACUUUUUUUUCAUCAACUCCUAUUAAAACACAUGGAUGUAAGAAGGUAUAUACAGUUAAUUACAAUCAUUAACAUAGAAAAGGCUGGAUUUUAAACAAAUAGAUACGAAAGUUAUCCAAUUCUUUUCUACCACUUUAGAUGACCAACCCUUUUCCUCUGAAUAAUGCGUACGUUUAUAUAAAUCAAUCAUAUCAUAAGGAUCUCCAUUUAGCUCCUUUUGAGACUAGGACAGGAAAAAAUGUACCAAAUACAUUAGAAUUAUGCAUCAAUUAAAGGUUAUUUUUUUUUGCUAAAUUUAAACUAUAUUAAAAGAAAGAAAAAAGAUUUUAGUUUAAUUUGAAUACGUUUUAGAAUUAUGCAUCAAUUAAAGUUUGUCUACAUGAACACAUUUUAGUUUAAUUUGACUGGUGCAAUUAAUUUGUCAAUUAACCACUGGAAAGAGGGGUUAUGUAUGCACGUCAGUACAUGUACCUUGCACCUUUUAUGUCACACUCAACUUAUACAAUAUGGCAUUAUAUGUAUUAUAGAGUAUAUUAUACUAUAUAUAUAUAUAUAUAUAUAUAUAUAUAUAUAUAUAUUAUGGUGUAAAAGAACAAGAACAGGUUUCACAACGUGGUAUCAAAGACGUACUAAGAUAGUCAAAAUUUCUUUUAAAAAAAAAAAAAACUAAACAUAAGAAAAAGUAAAAUAAUGAGUUACAACGUUGUCUUUUUAUACUCUGAAACUUUACAGGGAGCUCUUAGCCACAAAAAUGUAGUUAAUAAUCAUUAUACUCCCUGAUAGUUCAGUUGGUACGUAGAGAUCUUACUCGUCAUGGUUCAAGCCCCAUUAUACCUAUGUUGCAAUAAAUACUCAACGCUUGAAACAAUACCACUCUCCUUCUCUUUUAAAUAUCUACAGUAUCUCCCUCCAAACAACCCACCACAGUCCACAGACCAUAUGGUUAAUAGAAUCAUUCCUAAGUUAUUUGCUCUUUGACUAAUCCUAUAAUGUUGCUACAUUUCAUUCAAAAAACUCAUAGGUUGCACCAUGAUUUGAUAUAAACUGUUCAAUGAUGUAAACUAGUACCGUAGGAUUCCUAUUUUUAAACUCUGUUUGGUUCAAUUAUUAAACUCUGUUUUACUUUUUCUUAUGUUUAUUUAAUUACUGUAGAUAAUUUAUAUGAUUCACAAACAGGUACUGUAGAUAAAACUUGUUAUAAAUUACAAUUAAGAAUCAAUUACUAUUUGACAUAUAUCAACAUAUAUUUUCAUCCAAGACUUUGAGUGACGAUCAAGGCUUUGUAGACCUGACAAUAACACCAUUUGGAAUCAUACGGUUCUAGUUUACAUCAUUGAACAGUAUAAACUGUUAGAACGUUUGUGUUUAAGUCUUUGUCAUCAUUAAACUUCAAGAAAACAAAAUGUUCAAUAAAUAUUACUACUGUUAAUUUUUAUCCAGCACGCUUGCUGUUUUGUUGAUGAUUAUUUUUAGGGGUACAAAUGGGAAAACAAAUUGAGGGUUCUGCUCUCUUUCUCUUUCUCUUUCUCUUUAUUGAUUAUAUUCUAACAACUGAAAACUCAAUUGAACAAAGAGUAAUAAACUACUGAACAUAAUUAAGCUUAGGUGAGGGUGGUAUUUUUCUUACAAAUUAGUCAGUAUUUCCACCAAACAAACAGAAGAGUUGAGCAUAUUCAAACAAAUAAACCAAACAAGCAUUCAAGAAUUCUACUCUUUCUCCAAGCAGAUUGCUAUAAAGACUAGAUUUUUUACUCCAAAGAAAAAUACCCAAAAAGAUUUUUACACAAAAGAUCGAAUAAAUCCUAUCAAGAUAGAGUUUUUAUACAAAAUCAAGUAAAACCCAACUACCCAAGUAAUGAAAAUCCACAGAUAUUUGAAUUAGAGACUGAAUUAUAACAUCGUCUAUAUAUACAGAAAAUGAAAGAGAAAGAGGGUACCUUGUGAUGAAAGUGGCUAGCUAUGUGGAAAUAGAGAAAGUGAGAUUCAAUGGGAUCCUUGUAUAAAGCUAGUUCAUUUUGUAAUUCUUUAAAUAAUUCUUUGUACAGCAGAGGGAGGAAGUUGACGUUUUUUUUGUUUUCUUCCCCUUUUUUAGGAGACCAAUGUGAGCUUGUAGGGAUCAAAUAUAGGUAACUACGAUAUGAUAAUAUGUAUCAG